rnacentral:rRNA from 1 species
GAGCCUACGGGGGGCAGCAGUAGGGAAUUUUCGUCAAUGGGCGCAAGCCUGAACGAGCGAUGCCGCGUGAGUGAAGAAGGCCUUCGGGUCGUAAAGCUCUGUUGCGGGGGAAAAAAUGCAGCAUCAGGAAAUGGGUGCUGACUGAUGGUGCCCCGCCAGAAAGUCACGGCUAACUACGUGCCAGCAGCCGCGGUAAUACGUAGCUGGCGAGAGUUAUCCGGAAUGAUUGGGCGUAAGGGGUGCGCAGGCGGUCAUGCAAG